rnacentral:rRNA from 1 species
AGAGUUUGAUCCUGGCUCAGGAUGAACGCUAGCUACAGGCUUAACACAUGCAAGUCGAGGGGCAUCAUGCUUAUAGCAAUAUAAGUGAUGGCGACCGGCGCACGGGUGAGUAACACGUAUCCAACCUGCCGAUAACUCGGGGAUAGCCUUUCGAAAGAAAGAUUAAUACCCGAUGGCAUAAUAGAACCGCAUGGUUUGAUUAUUAAAGAAUUUCGGUUAUCGAUGGGGAUGCGUUCCAUUAGGCAGUUGGUGGGGUAACGGCCCACCAAACCUUCGAUGGAUAGGGGUUCUGAGAGGAAGGUCCCCCACAUUGGAACUGAGACACGGUCCAAACUCCUACGGGAGGCAGCAGUGAGGAAUAUUGGUCAAUGGACGAGAGUCUGAACCAGCCAAGUAGCGUGAAGGAUGACUGCCCUAUGGGUUGUAAACUUCUUUUAUAUGGGAAUAAAGUGGUCCACGUGUGGAUUUUUGUAUGUACCAUAUGAAUAAGGAUCGGCUAACUCCGUGCCAGCAGCCGCGGUAAUACGGAGGAUCCGAGCGUUAUCCGGAUUUAUUGGGUUUAAAGGGAGCGUAGGUGGACAGUUAAGUCAGUUGUGAAAGUUUGCGGCUCAACCGUAAAAUUGCAGUUGAUACUGGCUGUCUUGAGUACAGUAGAGGUGGGCGGAAUUCGUGGUGUAGCGGUGAAAUGCUUAGAUAUCACGAAGAACUCCGAUUGCGAAGGCAGCUCACUGGACUGCAACUGACACUGAUGCUCGAAAGUGUGGGUAUCAAAAAGGAUUAGAUACCCUGGUAGUCCACACAGUAAACCCCGAAAACUCGCUGUUUGCGAUAUACAGUAAGCGGCCAAGCGAAAGCAUUAAGUAUUCCACCUGGGGAGUACGCCGGCAACGGUGAAACUCAAAGGAAUUGACGGGGGCCCGCACAAGCAGCGGAGCAUGUGGCUUAAUUCGAAGCAACGCGAAGAACCUUACCAGGGCUUGACAUAUGGGUGAAGCGGGGGAGACCCCGUGGCCGAGAGGAGCCCAUACAGGUGGUGCAUGGCUGUCGUCAGCUCGUGUCGUGAGAUGUUGGGUUAAGUCCCGCAACGAGCGCAACCCCCGCCGCGUGUUGCCAUCGGGUGAUGCCGGGAACCCACGCGGGACCGCCGCCGUCAAGGCGGAGGAGGGCGGGGACGACGUCAAGUCAUCAUGCCCCUUAUGCCCUGGGCUGCACACGUGCUACAAUGGCCGGUACAGAGGGAUGCCACCCCGCGAGGGGGAGCGGAUCCCGGAAAGCCGGCCCCAGUUCGGAUUGGGGGCUGCAACCCGCCCCCAUGAAGUCGGAGUUGCUAGUAAUCGCGGAUCAGCAUGCCGCGGUGAAUGCGUUCCCGGGCCUUGCACUCACCGCCCGUCAAG